rnacentral:rRNA from 1 species
UACGUAGGCGGAAAAAUAAGUCAGUGGUGAAAUCCUGCAGCUCAACUGUAGAACUGCCAUUGAAACUAUUUUUCUUGAGUAUAGUUGAGGUGGGCGGAAUGUGUCAUGUAGCGGUGAAAUGCUUAGAUAUGACACAGAACACCGAUUGCGUAGGCAGCUCACUAAACUAUUACUGACGCUGAGGUACGAAAGCGUGGGGAACGAACAGGAUUAGAUACCCUGGUAGUCC